rnacentral:lncRNA from 1 species
GUAAUAUUGGAACACAAAGGCAUUCAAAGAUCUCUGACUGCUUCUCACACUUCCCGGCAAUUGCAGCUUAUGUAGCCAUAAUGUUUAC